UACGAAGGGGGCUAGCGUUGCUCGGAAUCACUGGGCGUAAAGCGCACGUAGGCGGCUUUUUAAGUCAGAGGUGAAAUCCUGGAGCUCAACUCCAGAACUGCCUUUGAUACUGAGAGGCUUGAGUCCGGGAGAGGUGAGUGGAACUGCGAGUGUAGAGGUGAAAUUCGUAGAUAUUCGCAAGAACACCAGUGGCGAAGGCGGCUCACUGGCCCGGUACUGACGCUGAGGUGCGAAAGCGUGGGAGCAACAGGG
rnacentral:rRNA from 1 species